rnacentral:rRNA from 1 species
UCAAUGGAGAGUUUGAUCCUGGCUCAGGAUGAACGCUGGCGGCGUGCUUAACACAUGCAAGUCGAGCGGUAAGGCCCCUUCGGGGGUACACGAGCGGCGAACGGGUGAGUAACACGUGGGGAACCUGCCCUCUUCUCUGGGAUAACUCCGGGAAACCGGAGCUAAUACCGGAUACUCCGGUCGGAUCGCAUGAUCUGAUCGGGAAAGCUCCGGCGGAAGAGGAUGGCCCCGCGGCCCAUUAGCUUGUUGGUGGGGUAAUGGCCCACCAAGGCGACGAUGGGUAGCCGAGCUGAGAGGCUGACCGGCCACACUGGGACUGAGACACGGCCCAGACUCCUACGGGAGGCAGCAGUGGGGAAUUUUGCGCAAUGGGCGAAAGCCUGA